rnacentral:rRNA from 1 species
GAUGAACGCUGGCGGCGUGCCUAAUACAUGCAAGUCGAGCGAACAGACGAGGAGCUUGCUCCUCUGACGUUAGCGGCGGACGGGUGAGUAACACGUGGAUAACCUACCUAUAAGACUGGGAUAACUUCGGGAAACCGGAGCUAAUACCGGAUAAUAUAUUGAACCGCAUGGUUCAAUAGUGAAAGACGGUUUUGCUGUCACUUAUAGAUGGAUCCGCGCCGCAUUAGCUAGUUGGUAAGGUAACGGCUUACCAAGGCAACGAUGCGUAGCCGACCUGAGAGGGUGAUAGGCCACCCUGGAACUGAGACACGGUCCAGACUCCUACGGGAGGCAGCAGUAGGGAAUCUUCCGCAAUGGGCGAAAGCCUGACGGAGCAACGCCGCGUGAGUGAUGAAGGUCUUCGGAUCGUAAAACUCUGUUAUUAGGGAAGAACAAAUGUGUAAGUAACUAUGCACGUAUUGACGGUACCUAAUCAGAAAGCCACGGCUAACUACGUG